GAGUUGCGAACGGGUGAGUAACGCGUAGGUAACCUGCCUGGUAGCGGGGGAUAACUAUUGGAAACGAUAGCUAAUACCGCAUAAUAUUGACUAUUGCAUGAUAGUCAAUUAAAAGGUGCAAUUGCAUCACUACCAGAUGGACCUGCGUUGUAUUAGCUAGUUGGUGGGGUAACGGCUCACCAAGGCGACGAUACAUAGCCGACCUGAGAGGGUGAUCGGCCACAAGGGGACUGAGACACGGUCCUUACUCC
rnacentral:rRNA from 1 species